rnacentral:rRNA from 1 species
CGAACGAGUUUAGGCUCGUGGCGUACGGCCCAGUAACACGUGGAUAACCUACCCUUAGGACCGGGAUAACCUUGGGAAACUGAGGAUAAUACUGGAUAGGCAAUUAUUUCUGCAAUGGUUUUUUGUUUAAAUGUUUUUUCGCCUAAGGAUGGGUCUGCGGCCGAUUAGGUAGUUGGUUAGGUAAAGGCUUACCAAGCCGUUGAUCGGUACGGGUUGUGAGAGCAAGAGCCCGGAGAUGGAACCUGAGACAAGGUUCCAGGCCCUACGGGGUGCAGCAGGCGCGAAACCUCCGCAAUGUGAGAAAUCGCGACGGGGGGAUCCCAAGUGCCAUUCUUAACGGGAUGGCUUUUCAUUAGUGUAAA